rnacentral:rRNA from 1 species
UAGGGAAUAUUGGUCAAUGGGUGAGAGCCUGAACCAGCCAUGCCGCGUGCAGGAAGAAGGCCUUCUGGGUUGUAAACUGCUUUUGCCAGGGGAUAAAAUUUCCAUGCGUGGAAAAUUGAAGGUACCUGGUGAAUAAGCCACGGCUAACUACGUGCCAGCAGCCGCGGUAAUACGUAGGUGGCAAGCGUUGUCCGGAUUUAUUGGGUUUAAAGGGUGCGUAGGCGGCCUAUUAAGUCAGUGCUGAAAUACUUCGGCUUAACCGGAGAGGUGGCAUUGAUACUGAUGGGCUUGAGUACAGAUGAGGUAGGCGGAAUUGACGGUGUAGCGGUGAAAUGCUUAGAUAUCGUCAAGAACACCUAUAGCGAAGGCAGCUUACUAGGCUGUAACUGACGCUGAGGCACGAAAGUGUGGGGAUCAAACAG